AGAUUACUUAUUACACAUGUUUUCCAUUUUCAAAAUGAGGAAAGAAAUUUGGGGGUAGCUCGUCACGGACAAAUUGCACAUAAAACCAGGAAGGGAUACCUAUAAAUGGCGAUAGUGAGAGAUGUGCCCCAAUCCCAAGGUCAGAUUUUUUUUCCCUCUCAAUUAGGUCUCACUUGGGGAGAGAGAACCAAGCGCUCACGAUUUGCCCAAAGAAAACCAGAAAGGUAUUCAAGGAAGAAUGGACCUGCUUCCGAUUGUGACUCAGAGAGAAAAUGUGAAUCUAGCAUGAAAAAAUGAAGAAGGAAACCUCAAAGAACACAAGGAGCCAUCACUUUAACAAAUGUUUGGAACGAACAGAAAAAGAGAAAAGAAAACUACUACCACGAUGCACAAUAUUGAAGAAUGUGGAGAUAAGGUUGAGUAGCUUAUUUCCCAGUUUCUUCAAUAUCUUACUAGCAGUUUUCGUCUUUUCCUUCCUCUGUUUCAUUCCAAACAUUUGUUGCAGUGAUGUAAUAGUUAUUUCAAGAUCUUUGGUAAUUUAUUUUUGCAAUGAACAAAUUAUUACUUUCAUUUUGCUAUUCUCUUUUUUACUUGUGAGCUGCACAGGCUACUAAAUUAUCUGUCAAAGAUGAAAAUUACUUCAACAAACGUGCUAAUUAUAAAUCCAGGAGGAAGUUGGCUACAAGGAAACAUGAGGUUUUACGAAGGAGUCAUUUCUUCUUUUGAUUCUGAGACAAACAAACACAAGGUCGUAUAUGAUGAUGGUGAAGUAGAGAAAUUGAGACUACAUAAAGAACGAUGGAAGAUGCUUGAAGAUAAUUCAUCCCUAAAGGAUUCUAAAAGGACUUGUACCAUUAAAGAUUAUGGUAAGGAACUGGUUGGCACUAGAAUAAAAGUUUGGUUCCAUUGGAUGAAAAGUUUUAUGAGGGAGUAGUUUCUUCUUUUGACCCUGUGGAAAGGAAACACAAGGUCAUAUAUGAUGAUGGUGAAGCAGAGAAAUUGAGACUACAUAAAGAACGAUGGGAGAUAAUUCAACUCAAAAGGACCAUGGAUUAGACUUUCAAGGCAAUGCUGUUUCAUCCCUUACGUAAGUAUUGAUUCUAAUUUUGUUAUAACAUUUGGGAUAUACAGCUUCAAUUGUUGUGCUUCACUUGUAGAUAGGGAAUUGCCAUGUUAGGACAAUAAUAUCUCACGUGAAUUGUCGUAUAGAAAGAGUAUAUCUCUCACGUGAAUUGUCAUGUUAGGACAAGAGUAUCUCACAUGAAUUGUCAUAUAGGACGAGUGUAUUUCACGUGAAUUGUCAUGUUAGGACAAGAAUAUCUCACAUGAAUUGUCAUGUAGGAUGAGUGUAUUUCACAUGAAUUGUCAUGUUAGGACAAGAGUAUUUCACGUGAAUUGUCAUGUUAUUUGGAAUUGUCAUGUCAUGACAAUUCACGUGAAAUACUCGUCCUAACAUGACAAUUCACGUGAAAUACACUCAUCCUACAUGACAAUUCAUGUGAGAUACUCUUGUCCUAACAUGACAAUUCACAUGAGAUACACUCUUUCUACACGACAAUUCAUGUGAGAUACUCUUGUCCUAACAUGACAAUUCACAUGAGAUACACUCUUUCUACACGACAAUUCAUGUGAGAUAUUAUUGUCCUAACAUGACAACCCUAGUAUCAUAUGUUUAAAAAAACUGAGCUUGUCAUGCUUGUAGAUUUAUUGUAUGUAGCUACAGGCUGCUCUUGGUGUUUACUAAUACUCGGCAGCUUAUAUGUAUAUGAUUAAAUUACUGAUGUUGGAAAAUUCAGAACCAAUAAAAUUCAAAUUAUGAAUUUGUGAUUUUCAAAUUGGUUGUCAUUUUAUUGUAUGUCUAAGUGUAACUUAUCUGAAAUUCAUAUACUAUCUGGUUUAUAAAUAAAUUAAUGUGUAGAUAUAUAAGAACAAGACAUGUAAUUAAGAUGAGGAAAUUCAGAUUAGACUAAACUAGGAGGAUUUAGAUUUCCAAAACAUUGAAGUCGUUUGUAUUUGGUGUAUAAGGUUAAAAUUAUUUGUUGCCAAAUUCAUGCAUGCUUACGGAAUAAGAGUAGACAGGUGAUGUGAUUUUAAUUAUUGUUUAACCAAGUUUCCGAUGGAUUAAGGAAGUAGCAAAUUCAAUCAUGUUUUGGAUCUAAUCACAACAUGAUGUGUAGGGAUAUUCAUAGCUAAGUUGCUAGAACUCAAGUGUAGAUGUACCAUACAAAUAUAGAUAUAGACGUCGGACCCUUCAUAAUUGAAAUUUUGAGAUUUAGGUAUACAAAUUCAGAUUGGAAUAUG